UGUAGUUCACUGCAGAUCAGUGUGAUUACCCUCGCUGCGAGUAGAAAGAGUCUCUGUGUCGUUCCUCUGAGUCUGACUGUUGGUUUGAGCUCAUUCCACACCCCAACAUUUAACAUGGUCCUUCGAGCCGGAGAUUCUUCAACUAACCUAAUCUUGUCUUUUGCAGUGACUGAAGGAACCCUGGGAUCGCCGACGCCGAGGAAGCGCUAGCGCGCAGCCACGCCUAGGCUCGGUGGCUGAAAGCCCCGGUGUGUAAAUUUGCAUCAGGCCGGUGGGUUACUGCUUCGCUCGACGCCGGGUGACCUUGGGGUUCCGGAGAGUCACCUAGAAGUCAGCUCAGAGAAUAACCUGAGGCCUGGAGACCUGGUCCUGAUCAAAACGCUCCAAAUAAAAGACUGGAGCACCCCUCGAUGGGAAGGACCCUUCCAAGUUCUCCUGACCAUGCCUACUGCUCUGAAAAUCACAGAGAGACCAUCCUGGAUUCACAAGAGCCACUGUAAAGCUGUUCUACCUUUACAGGAGCCAACUCAACCGACGGGGUAGCAGGGGAAUUCCGGUUACAAAGGGGCUGGUGACCCAUAGGUCCCAGCGUCUCAACCCCGGUGAAGAAAACAGCUGACCUGCGCCCAUUUAUCAUGGCUCCCUGUAAGGUAUGGAUAAGUCUUGGAGUGAUCCCCACACUAACAUUGGGCUUCUUCCUUUGUCACAGUAAGAAAGAAGCAACAUCCCACUGGAAAAGAUGGACACCAGACGGGUCACACCUCAGGCCUCUAGGAAGUGCAGAAAGUCAUCGCUUCUUGCAGAAUUACUGGUAUUGUUACGUGACACCGCUAAAUCUCAGAAUAAAACGGAUUGUUAUGUAUGCUCUGUAAUGCCUGUACACUCUCAGGGUCCUACAAUAUAUGUGAAAGCUAUGAAUGAUUCACAAGCAAA